CAAAGAUUAAGCCAUGCAUGUCUAAGUAUAAACAAAUUUAUACAGUGAAACUGCGAAUGGCUCAUUAAAUCAGUUAUAAUUUAUUUGAUAUUCACUUACUACUUGGAUAACCGUGGUAAUUCUAGAGCUAAUACAUGCGUACAUAACCUCGACUUCUGGAAGAGGUGCACUUAUUAGAUAAAAAGCCAACGCGGGCAACCGCUUGUAUGGUGAUUCAUAAUAAUUAAUCGAAUCGCAUGGCCUUGUGCCGGCGAUGAUGCAUUCAAAUUUCUGCCCUAUCAAGUUUCGAUGGUAGGUUAGUGGCCUACCAUGCUUUUAACGGGUAACGGGGAAUUAGGGUUCGAUUCCGGAGAGGGAGCCUGAGAAACGGCUACCACAUCCAAGGAAGGCAGCAGGCGCGCAAAUUACCCAAUCCCGACACGGGGAGGUAGUGACAAUAAAUAACAAUACAGGGCCUUUACGGGUCUUGUAAUUGGAAUGAGUACAAUUUAAAUCCCUUAACGAGGAACAAUUGGAGGGCAAGUCUGGUGCCAGCAGCCGCGGUAAUUCCAGCUCCAAUAGCGUAUAUUAAAGUUGUUGCAGUUAAAAAGCUCGUAGUUGAAUUUUGGCCUUCGUCUGUGGGGUUCGGUCUUCAUUGAUCGGUACCUCAACGGACGGGGCUCCACCUUCUGGGUUAGCCAGUCGUCACUUCGGUGGCGGUUGGUGAACCAGAACUUUUACUUUGAAAAAAUUGGAGUGUUUAAAGCAGGCUUUCAAGCUUGAACAUAUUAGCAUGGAAUAAUGAAAUAGGACUUUGGCCUUAUUUCGUUGGUUUCUAAAGCCAAAGUAAUGAUGAAUAGGGAUAGUUGGGGACAUUAGUAUUCAAUUGUCAGAGGUGAAAUUCUUGGAUUUAUUGAAGACUAACUUCUGCGAAAGCAUUUGUCAAGGAUGUUUUCAUUAAUCAAGAACGAAAGUUAGGGGAUCGAAGACGAUCAGAUACCGUCGUAGUCUUAACCAUAAACUAUGCCGACUAAGGAUCGGAUGGUGUUAUAUUUUAUAUUGACCCAUUCGGCAUUUCAGCGAAAGCCAAGUUUUUGGGUUCCGGGGGGAGUAUGGUCGCAAGGCUGAAACUUAAAGG
rnacentral:rRNA from 1 species